rnacentral:rRNA from 1 species
AGAGUUUGAUGGCUCAGGAUGAACGCAGCGGCAGAACACAUGCAAGUCGAGGGGUAGCAGGGUAGCAAUAUCGCUGACGACCGGCGCACGGGUGAGUAACGCGUAUGCAACCUUCCUUUAACUGGGGCAUAGCCCGGAGAAUUCGGAUUAAUACCCCAUAAUAUUUCAGGGACACAUGUUUUGGAAUUAAAGCUCCGGCGGUUAAAGAUGGGCAUGCGUGCCAUAGCUAGUUGGUGAGGUAACGGCUCACCAAGGCUACGAUGGUUAGGGGGUCUGAGAGGAUGAUCCCCCACACUGGUACUGAGACACGGACCAGACUCCUACGGGAGGCAGCAGUGAGGAAUAUUGGGCAAUGGGCGCAAGCCUGACCCAGCCAUGCCGCGUGAAGGAUGAAUGCCCUAUGGGUUGUAAACUUCUUUUGUACGGGACGAAACUUUUGGUCGUGACCGAAAUUGACUGUACCGUAUGAAUAAGCAUCGGCUAACUCCGUGCCAGCAGCCGCGGUAAUACGGAGGAUGCAAGCGUUAUCCGGAUUCAUUGGGUUUAAAGGGUGCGUAGGCGGAAUAAUAAGUCAGCGGUGAAAGCCUGUGGCUUAACCAUAGAAUUGCCGUUGAUACUGUUAUUCUUGAGUAUAGUUGAAGUGGGCGGAAUGUGUAAUGUAGCGGUGAAAUGCUUAGAUAUUACACAGAACACCAAUUGCGAAGGCAGCUUACUAAGCUGUUACUGACGCUGAGGCACGAAAGCGUGGGGAGCAAACAGGAUUAGAUACCCUGGUAGUC